rnacentral:rRNA from 1 species
UCCGGAAUUAUGGGGCGUAAAGGGCGCGUAGGCGGUGCGGUAAGUCUGAUGUGAAAUCUCCGGGCUCAACUCGGAGUCUGCAUCAGAAACUGCCGUGCUCGAGUGUGGGAGAGGUGAGUGGAAUUCCGAGUGUAGCAGUGAAAUGUGUAGAUAUUCGGAAGAACACCAGUGGCGAAGGCAGCGAAUUGGCGCUUUAUUGACGCUCAGGCACGAAAGCAUGGGGAUCAAACAGG